rnacentral:rRNA from 1 species
UACGGAGGAUGCAAGCGUUAUCCGGAAUGAUUGGGCGUAAAGGGUCCGCAGGUGGCAGUGUAAGUCUGCUGUCAAAGAAUGAGGCUUAACCUUAUCAAGGCAGUGGAAACUACACAGCUAGAGGACGGUCGGGGUAGAAGGAAUUCCUGGUGUAGCGGUGAAAUGCGUAGAGAUCAGGAAGAACACCGGUGGCGAAAGCGUUCUGCUAGACCUGUACUGACACUGAGGGACGAAAGCUAGGGGAGCGAAUGGG